rnacentral:rRNA from 1 species
AGCGAACGUUUGCGGCGGGCCUAACACAUGCAAGUCGAACGGGCAGUCCCUUCGGGGCGUGUCAGUGGCGCACGGGUGCGUAACACGUAGGUAAUCAACCCUCGGGUUCGGGAUAACACUUCGAAAGGGGUGCUAAUACCGGAUGCGACGAGCGUCUCCUCGGAGAUGCACGGGAAAGAUCCGCAAGGGUCGCCCGAGGAGAGCCUGCGGCCCAUCAGCUUGUUGGUGAGGUAAUGGCUCACCAAGGCUAAGACGGGUAGGCUGGUCUGAGAGGAUGAUCAGUCACACUGGAACUGAGACACGGUCCAGACUCCUACGGGAGGCAGCAGUGGGGAA